rnacentral:rRNA from 1 species
CAGCACCUCAAGUGGUCAGGAUGAUUAUUGGGCCUAAAGCAUCCGUAGCCGGCUCUGUAAGUUUUCGGUUAAAUCUGUACGCUCAACGUACAGGCUGCCGGGAAUACUGCAGAGCUAGGGAGUGGGAGAGGUAGACGGUACUCGGUAGGAAGGGGUAAAAUCCUUUGAUCUAUUGAUGACCACCUGUGGCGAAGGCGGUCUACCAGAACACGUCCGACGGUGAGGGAUGAAAGCUGGGGGAGCAAACCGGAUUGGAUACCCGAGUAGUCC